rnacentral:lncRNA from 1 species
UGGUAUGGGUUAAACCAAACUGCUAAGUAACCAAAUUUAAGAUUUAAUUUUUCAAAUUGGCUAGGUAAGUGGAGAUCAGUGAGGGUCCCCUCAUUGCUUUUCUUAGACACCAAUAAAUUAGCCAGGUAAGCAAACAGAAUCAAUUAAAUAACCACAUCUCAUUAACUUGUCUGAGAUACCAAUAGGUCAAUUGGUCCAAACAGAUUAACUC